UACGGAAGGCAGCAGUGGGGAAUAUUGCACAAUGGGCGAAAGCCUGAUGCAGCUAUGCCGCGUGUAUGAAGAAGGCCUUAGGGUUGUAAAGUACUUUCAGCAGGGAGGAAAGAAUAAAACUAAUAAUUUUAUUUUGUGACGUUACCUGAAGAAGAAGCACCGGCUAACUCCGUGCCAGCAGCCGCGGUAAUACGGAGGGUGCAAGCGUUAAUCAGAAUUACUGGGCGUAAAGAGCGCGUAGGUGGUUUUUUUAAAGUCAGAUGUGAAAUCCCUGGGCUUAACCUAGGAACUGCAUUUUGAAACUGAAAACUAGAGUAUCGUAGAGGGAGGUAGAAUUCUAGGUGUAGCGGUGAAAUGCGUAGAUAUCUGGAGGAAUACCUGUGGCGAAAGCGGCCUCCUAAACGAAUACUGACACUGAGGUGCGAAAGCGUGGGGAGCAAACAGGGAUUAGAUACC
rnacentral:rRNA from 1 species